UACGUAGGGGGCGAGCGUUGUCCGGAUUUACUGGGCGUAAAGGGAGCGUAGGCGGACUUUUAAGUGAGAUGUGAAAUACUCGGGCUCAACUUGAGUGCUGCAUUUCAAACUGGGAGUCUAGAGUGCAGGAGAGGAGAAUGGAAUUCCUAGUGUAGCGGUGAAAUGCGUAGAGAUUAGGAAGAACACCAGUGGCGAAGGCGAUUCUCUGGACUGUAACUGACGCUGAGGCUCGAAAGCGUGGGGAGCAAACAGG
rnacentral:rRNA from 1 species